UGUGAAAAUCUUCCUAGCAAUUUUCUUGAAUUCUUUUGUUGAGCCACACAAAGACAAAAUGCCUCUGUUGUAUAACAUUCUAUAUGCUUUCAUAUAUAUAAAAGCAUAUAUAUAAUUUCAUAUAUAUAUGAACAACAGAGGCAUUUGCCAGAGCAUUUUUUCUUUAUUUGGCUCAACAAAAGAAUUCAAGGAAAUCGCUAGAAAGAUUUUCACA